UAAAUAGAAAAAAUUUGUUUAAAAUUAUUUUUAAUCCUUUUUGUAUAACGGUUUUUAGGAAAAAAAAUUUAUUAAAAUUAUUUCUCGAAAAAAAAAUAUUUAAAUUAAAUUUAAAUGAAAUUAGAAGUUUAUUCCUAUGUAGAUAAUACAUAAUUUUAUUGAAUUGAAGAGUAUAUUCUUUAUGAAUUUAUUCUUUUCAAAAACUAUAAGCAAAAAUUUAAUUUAGAAGUGAAAUUUUUUUCGAUUUUUUUUAUCUAGUAAAUUUUAGGAAGAGAAAAAGCUUUUCGAAAAAUAAAAAAAUUUUUGUGGAUAAAAAUAAAAAAAUCUUUAUUUUAGAAUAAAUUAAGACUUCAAAUUGGUUCUCUAUUUUUAAUAAAAAUUUCAAUUUAAAAAAUCAGUCCAAAAUUAAUAUAAUAUAAAUUUUUAAAGUAUCUUUUGAAGAAAUUAAAAAAUUAGUAUAAAAAAAGAAAUAAAGAAAUCAAUUUUGCUUUUCAACUGUUUAUUAAAAACAUUUCUUUUUUUUUAAAAAGUAUUUCCUGCUCAAUGAAUGAAAAUUAAGUUUAAAUUGCUGCAGUAUUCUGACUGUGCAAAGGUAGCAUAAUUACUUGUCUAUUAAAAAUAGAAUUGUUUGAAUGGAUUAAUGAAAAAGUUUUUUUUUUAUUUUUUAAAAUAGUUUAGUUAAGAACUUAAAUAAAGAGUGAAGAUUCUCUUAAUAAUAUAGUAAACUUAAGACGAAAAGACCCUACAGAGUUUUGAAUCAAAUAUUUUAUAUGUAUAAUGUUUUUUAAUGGGGAAUUAGAGAAAAUAUUUUUUUUUAAUUAAUUCAAUAGUAAAUAAAACUUCCUUAGGGAUAACAGGGCAAUAAAAUUUUAGAGUUCUUAUCACAAAUUUUGCUUGCUACCUCGAUGUUGAAUCAUAAUAAAAAUUAAAUGAAGAUAUUUAAUAUUUUAGUCUGUUCGACUAUUGAAAUUUUUCGUGAUUUGAGUUUAGACCGAUGUAAAUCAGGUUGGUUUUUAUCUAAUAGGUUAAAGUGUUGUACGAAAGGACUCAGCUUUGUUAAAUU
rnacentral:rRNA from 1 species